UGACGUGCUUGCUUUGAGCUGGGGGAUGGAGGAAGGAAAGGAGAAUGAGUUGAAGCUACCUUGUUCGGAAAGACCGGUUGUUCUGAUGAUGACCUGCCUCCUAGACCUUCAUAAUUGAGGUGGUGCCCGGCUGACUUCAAUGACAUUAGAACACACUGGUGCAGCAGCUGCUCUCCUCGCACAGACGCUUCCUGUGGGGCGAGCGGGACCGCGUGGCCACACUGGCACAGCAGCGAGGGCUGAUGCCACCACUGUGGUGUACGUCCACAGACAAAGACUGUCCCACCAUUUUCUCCUUUGUGGUGUUGAGAUGAGAAGUCUUAUCUGUGACUGGAGGAUGGCUUCUGUUCAGAGAACCAGCAAUGUCCUUAUAAGAGAGGAAACAUGAGGGUUCAUGGACUGACAGAAGCACAAGAUGGGUUAAGCUCUCCUGAGUCACUUGUGAUAAACUACCAAUUCCAUUUUGGCUGCCAAAUUUCACUGGCCUAGCUUGUGCACUUCAACAGCCUUGCAGGAACUGGAGCUUUCACAGGGAUAAGUCUGCCACCAGUCGUUGACUUGUCUACCCAUGUCUCUCACAGGUAAAUCCCUGCAUUUCUGUAAAACUCUUGAUUUUCUACAGUGGUAAGUCCAAGGACCACCAGCUGUAACAUCUGCUAAUAGGUGUAUUUCAAGCACAUCAGAUGUCACUGGAACAUAUGUUUUGGAGCAGAAUUCACAAAAGCCAUACUGAAUGCAAGCUCAGAUGCAUAUUUUGUAUUUAAGCAUUUAUAUAUCAUGCUUGUACAUUAAUUAGGGCAUUUAGCAUACAAUAUUCAGAAAUAUGACAUGAUGUGAACUUGCUACCUUUUUUUUGCCUUCUUUACUGGAAAAAAGCUUUAAUCUAGAAGGCUACUUCAGCAGCUUGUGGGAAUCUCCUUCACUGGAGAUGUAAAAAAUCAUCUUAUGACA